GUCAGAGCUCCAGAUAACAAUACUCUUGAACUUUGGAAAGUUUCUUUUCCAGAAGAUCUGAGAGAGAUGAUUACAUGAGUGACGCUAGGCCUCUAUCUAAGGAGGAGUAAUGUGCCUGCAUGGAUGGAGAUGCGGGCGUGCUGGGUCGCAGUCACGAUGGAGCGAUGUGACAGACCUGGGGGACAGUGAGCCCACUGUCAUCGGGGUCUUCAACAAGAAGCAACCAACUGUUGGCUGCGAAGAAUAAGGGCCAGUUCAUUCAGAAACCUCACGCUGCCUUUUGCGGACUUGGUAUUGCUUUGAAACAGUCCUCAGCUCACAUUUACUGCCUUUUGCUGGUCGUCAGCCUUGUUAGAGGAUUGUCGUAUGUGACGGCACUACAGCUGGGCUUAUGAUGCAAUGUCUGUUUAGCUGUGCUUCUUUUGGACCUCUGUCACUGGGUGUGUUUGUGUCUCUAUCUGGGUGUUUCAGGUGCAUCUUCAGAAUGAUGUUAACAUCUUUAUGCAUCUGCCUUGGUAUCCCAUUGUCUUUUGUGUGUCCCUUUCUUUCAGGUUCAGGCCACAGAGCCUUUUGGUCAAACCCCUGUUUCCCUCCUUUUCAUUCUUUAUCAUUUGGAAAUGAGAAGAUUAUGGGGAGCAUUCUAUAACAGCUGUACUCUGCAGAAUAAUAACUCAUGUUAUGUCUACAUUCAUUUAGUCAUGCAGCGUUCAUGAACAAUCUGAUUAUUUUUAACGGCUCUUUGGUAUGAAUGAAGAGAUCCAAGUCGUAUUUGAGAGCCAUUCUUUUUAUGGUUGAGCCCAAAUUUCUCUGCCUGCUCUAAAAUCCACUCCGCUGUGCUUUACAGGAGCAGUGCGAACCAGCUAGUCACAAGAGGUAGACAUUGUCAUGUUACUUAAAGGCAGAAUGAGCCGGAUUUUUCAGUGUUUGUAAACACACUGUUCAAUGUUGGCCUUUCCUCCCCAGCUCACUGAGUGAGAGAAAUAUUUUCAGAUAAUUGUUUAUCUGAUUUGCACUAAAAUCUGUU